rnacentral:rRNA from 1 species
UACGAAGGGGGCUAGCGUUGUUCGGAAUUACUGGGCGUAAAGCGCGCGCAGGCGGCCAUUCAAGUCAGGGGUGAAAGCCCAGAGCUCAACUCUGGAACUGCCCUUGAAACUGCAUGGCUUGAGUACGAGAGAGGUGAGUGGGAAUUCCCAAGUUGUAGAGGUGAAAGUUCGAUAGAUAUUGGGAAGAACACCGGUGGCGAAGGCGGCUCACUGGCUCGUUACUGACGCUCAGGCGGACGACAGCGUGGGGAUCAAACAGG